AAAACAUAUAUGGUUGGAGUUUGAAGGGUUGGAAAGUGGGAACCAAUUACGGGGCUCUCUGAACUCCGAACCUAAAAGGAAGGGGUGGUAAAAUACGGCUGCUAGUUCAUGGAUGCCCCUGGAUGCGUAGUUUAGCCAGCAUUAAACAUCGAAAGCCAGGCCGAGGAUGCGCAAGCUAAGGGUUUGCAUGAACUAGGAGACGUCAUUACCUUGAUUUUUUAGGCAUCGAUAUUCAUCAUUUGUUUACCGGGGAACUGCACUUACCUACCCACAUAACUAACCUAUCAGAAGCCAUUGGAAUAUUCUAUUGUUUUCCCCCUUCAAUUUUGCCUGUAAAAAAACUAGCUUUAUAUUUCAAAUUGAUAUCUUGAUCAAGAUUUUAAAUAAAGAGAUAUAAUGAUACAUCCACAACUACAUCUAUGAGGGGUUUACACUAAAUAAUUCCCAGGGAUGACCUUUCUAAUUAUUCUAUUCA